CUUUCGGGUUGGCACUAGUGGCGGACGGGUGAGUAACACGUAAGCAAUCUGCCCGGUAGUGGGGAAUAACUAGUCGAAAGACUGGCUAAUACCGCAUGUGAUGGCUGGUCCUUGGAUGAGUCAUGAAAGGCGUAAGUCGCUACCGGAGGAGCUUGCGGCCGAUUAGCUAGUUGGUGAGGUAAUGGCCCACCAAGGCAACGAUCGGUAGCUGGUCUGAGAGGACGGUCAGCCACACGGGGACUGAGAUACGGCCCCGACUCCUACGGGAGGCAGCAGCUAGGAAUCUUGGGAAUGGGCGAAGGCCUGACCCAGCAACGCCGCGUGGGCGAUGAAGGCCUUCGGGUCGUAAAGCCCUUUUGCAGGGGAAGAUGAUGACGGUACCCUGCGAAUAAGCCACGGCUAACUACGUGCCAGCAGCCGCGGUAAUACGUAGGUGGCAAGCGUUGUCCGGAUUUACUGGGCGUAAAGGGCGUGCAGGCGGUUUGUUAAGUGCAGGGUGAAAGCUCCCGGCUCAACUGGGAGAGGUCCUUGCAUACUGGCGAACUUGAGGGGGGUAGAGGAAAGUGGAAUUCCCGGUGUAGUGGUGAUAUGCGUAGAUAUCGGGAGGAACACCUGUGGCGAAGGCGGCUUUCUGGGCCCUACCUGACGCUGAGACGCGAAAGCGUGGGGAGCGAACCGGAUUAGAUACCCGGGUAGUCCACGCCGUAAACUAUGGACACUA
rnacentral:rRNA from 1 species